GCAGAGCUUGCAGCUCGCGUCUGGGUAUUGUGUUGAAUUUACUCUGUCUAAAUGUACUGGGUUUCGGAAUAUUCUGGUUUGCAACCUCCUCCAAUCUGUUUCUUGAAACCUGUCGAGUUGUUUGCGGGGUUGUGGGUAUGUUUCUCCUCGUUUCGUAUAGUGUGUCAGUAUGUCGUGGUACGUGACCAGUCUGUGCCUGUUGUCUCGUAUCGCUACUUUGUUGUCGUUGCCUCCCCGUUGUCCUUCCCCUUUCCCCGGGGGUUGCGGGGUGUUGUGCCGUCACUGUCCGAGACGCGGUGGAUUAGUUCUCGCGUGGCUCGAUCGGCCUUCUCAUUGAGGUUGGGAGGGCCAUUCAUGGUUACUUCUCCCAUAUGUACUGGGAUCCAUUUGAGGUAUUUGGGUCAUGUCAGAGAAACACAAAUGUAUUGUUCCAAAAUGGUACAGUGUUACUCCGCUGCUAGAAAGGUGAUUUAGAAGAGCUCUCUAACUCCAUUGACUAAAUUUUCAGAGGUGAUUGCAAUGGGUGAUUCCCCUGUUACUUUGUUAUUGCUAGUCUGGUGCUUACUGUCAGUGAUAUACACAGCAUGCCAGUCUUGGAGCUCAACUUUCAAGAGCCAAUUAAGAGGCAUGUCAUGGGUGAUUUAAUAAGCUUAUUAGGCUUCUUUUUAAACAAACAAUUAAUUUAUUUAUUUUUGCUGUCAUUUUGAUGGCCUGUCUAUGCUUUUUGUUUUCAAAGGCCAUAUUAUUUUCAUAAUUAUGGCCUUCAAUGUUUAAUUGUAAUAUCCCUUAUAAUCCACAGUGAUUACUCGUAAAAGAGAAAUCAAUAUAGAACAAACAGUAGAUGUGGGUAAAUGUAUGUGCAUGACUCCUUGCUUAGACUUGCUGGGUUAGAGCAGAGCAGAACUGUGUAUGAUACCCGCACAACAGAGCCUUGGAAUGUUAAGAAAUGCCGCACAAACUAUGGCAAACAAAUGUUGCAGCAUACCUUACCGACACUUCUGAACCAUUUGUACUGCUACGAGAAUAUUGACUUAUCUAAUAUUUCUCUGAAAGAAUUGCCCCAAAUGUUCGUGUAGUUUUGUACUGUACAAGUACAAUGUACUGCGUACUGAAAGUGUAUGUCUCAUUCUCUGUACCGAACGUAUGUGUUUUUUUUGCUUUUUUGUUUUUCUCCUCACGUUUUGUCUGUUGUUGUACUCCGCCGCCGUCAAUGCUGCACUGUAAGAGGAAGCCAGGACCUCUCAAGCUGUCUAUACAGCUUUUUCCCUGGCUGUCCUCGCAACACUAGUUGCGGAAAUAAACCUUCAAACCAAACCAAACCUGCAAAAGUUUAAAGUCAGGUUGCUCAAUGGAUUGAAUAAUCUCAGUUGGAAAGCAGCACUAAGUGUGUUCAUAUGCCCCUCACUCAUCCAGUAUACGUAAAUGUAACCAAAUGUAGUAUAUGUAACCAACACACUCUCAGACUUUAGCGCAAUAAGUUAAUAUGUUGUGCUAUGCUGUUGAGUUGAGACUGUGAAUGGAACGAUUAUUAAAAUGAGCAAGCUAGAGACAACUAUUGCAGUGUUUAUAAUUUGUGGUAAUUGCAGCAUGAUAUUGCAAAAGAACAUAAAUAAUGCUCCUCUCAAUGUUUCUAUCUAUGCCUUUCGUUCAUCUCUUAGUCUCUCUGAAAUUAAGCAGCAGAGCAUGGCACAAGCACUGCUGCCUACGUUUAUAAUGGAGUCAUCAGUGGGUUUCAGACAGAGGCAACUCCUGUCCCUUAUGCACAUAUGUUUUGGUAUUUUCAAGACUGUUCCUGUCAUACCAAAGCCAAGGCUCACUGGCCCCUCAUGGUAUUGAAGCUUGCUCACCAAUUACUCAGAGUGGAUGAUACAUUUUCUGGAUUUUGUCAGGUGCCAUCUGUCUUGCCCUAAUCAUGGUAUGAAAGGUCACAGCAAAUUUAAUAACAAGCUGCUCAAGAAUGUGUCCCAGCUAGUGUCGCAACAUACCCCCUGGGUUCAUUCUUAAGACUGGGAAAACAUGGGGAAGGCAGGAAAUGGAAAUUCAAGACGAUGAGCAAACCGAGAACAAGAUGAAAGCAGGAGCCAACGUUUCAACAAGUGGACUUGUCUUCUUCAAGGCGACAUAUGCUUUCCUCGCCACAGUUACAGAUAUUAAGAAUCAAUUUGGUUGAUGCCCAGCCUGAUACUCCGUGAUUAUACUGAUAGAUAUGCAUACAAUUG